rnacentral:misc_RNA from 1 species
UCACCCCUCAAGCCCCCAGCUUGGUGUUGGAUGGUCGGUGGGACCCCUCGGGUUCCACCCCUCCCAAAGACAAUGACGGCGGCCUCGUUGGACCCCCGGUACACUGAGUUCUUCACCGAACACGUACUGGACUAAGGGCCCGCGGGGCACGGUCUGCCUCCCCUCAGGGAGAAUUUUUAACAAGG